CCUACGGGUGGCUGCAGUGAGGAAUAUUGGUCAAUGGACGAGAGUCUGAACCAGCCAAGUAGCGUGAGGGAUGACUGCCCUAUGGAUUGUAAACUUCUUUUGUAUGGGAGUAAACUGUUCCACGUGUGGGUUUUUGUGUGUACCAUAUGAAUAAGGAUCGGCUAACUCCGUGCCAGCAGCCGCGGUAAUACGGAGGAUCCGAGCGUUAUCCGGAUUUAUUGGGGUUAAAGGGUGCGUAGGUGGGUUGUUAAGUCAGUUGUGAAAGUUUGCGGCCCAACCGCAAAAUUGCAGUUGAAACUGGCAGUCUUGAGUAGAGUAGAGGUGGGCGGAAUUCGUGGUGUAGCGGUGAAAUGCUUAGAUAUCACGAAGAACUCCGAUUGCGAAGGCAGCAUACCGGACUGCAACUGACACUGAGGCUCGAAAGUGUGGGUAUCAAACAGGAUUAGAUACCCUAGUAGUC
rnacentral:rRNA from 1 species